AGGAAUAGCUAAGGUGCAUAACUACAAUAUUGUUGGUUUAGUGUAAUAGUGCAUUUUUAUUGGUUUGUCAUACACAAUAGUACCACGCGGUGAUAUUAAACACUGGAAUCCAACAAAACACUGAUUAACUAGCAAAAAAUGAAAUAUAAAAUGUUUUCUUUGACUGCGAUAUUGCUAAGUAAUAUAUUUUCUUAAAAUAUAACAUAAGUACUAUCUAUAAGCUAUAGGUACUAAUUCAGAACCACAGAUCAGGUAAGCAGAUUCUAUUUAUUAUUUCUAAAACUUUUAGUAUUUUAAUGGAUAGCUCUUAUACAAAUUAUUAACUAUUAUUACUCAUCUAUUUGUUUAAUUUAUUUACAAAUGUCAUUUUAAUUUUUUCAUCAUUAAAAUUUACACUUUUUUCGGGAAACCUGAGUAUUGGUACUGGUACCUUCCUAUUUGAAUUGGCAUCUAAUUACUUUUUUUUCACCAUUAUUUAUUGACACAUACAAAACCCAAAAUAAUUUGUUUUCUAAAAAUGAUUGUCAAUAAGGUACCACUAAUAAUAAUGUGCCUAUACUUAAUAUAUAUAUAUUUCCUUGUAUAAUGACACUGCCUCUAUAUAUAAUAUCAUAAAUACUUUCCCAAGAAGAAAUUUUUACUUACGCCCUAUAUGUCUUGUUGUAGGUAAAGUAACCAAUUAUAUGUAAUGUGAUGCUUAUCUAUUCAGUAUGUUAUAAGGGUGUUUACCUCGAGAAUACAUAAGAAAUUAAUAACAUCUACAUAUUUUAGUUUAUAUUCCAUAUGUACCAAUUAAAUAAAAAAUAUGGCUCGGGUACCCAUUUUGAUCAACCAUCACCCAUUCAUUAAAAGGGUGGCAACCAUCAUCCUCGACUGCUGGUUUCGGGGACACUGAUUCUGAUUUAAUCAGAAUCUUUUAACUUGUAAUCAGAUAGUAAUUUUGAACAGUUAUAGACUUUUCACUACUUGCUUAAUGUAUAGGUUGAAAUACCUAUAUAUUUUAUCCU